UACGGAGGAUCCGAGCGUUAUCCGGAUUUAUUGGGUUUAAAGGGAGCGUAGGCGGGUUGUUAAGUCAGUUGUGAAAGUUUGCGGCUCAACCGUAAAAUUGCAGUUGAUACUGGCAUCCUUGAGUACAGUAGAGGUAGGCGGAAUUCGUGGUGUGGCGGUGAAAUGCUUAGAUAUCACGAAGAACUCCGAUUGCGAAGGCAGCCUGCUGGACUGUAACUGACGCUGAUGCUCGAAAGUGUGGGUAUCAAACAGG
rnacentral:rRNA from 1 species